UUAAGUUCAGCGGGUAUCCCUACCUGAUCCGAGGUCAACCUUAAGAAGUUUAGGUUACUGGCAAGACACCCCCGGACGCUACAACGAGAAGUAUUACUACGCUGAGAGCCAGGAGGCGCCGCCACUGUGUUUAGGGGCCGCAGGUGUGCGAACCCCAAUACCAAGCCAGGCUUGAAUGGUGUAAAUGACGCUCGAACAGG
rnacentral:misc_RNA from 1 species